rfam:Gossypium raimondii Chr08_contig_88, whole genome shotgun sequence.
UGUUAAAAUUUCACCUAUUUGCACGGUUAAAAAUUAGUGUGGUUGAUGAAAUAACUAGGUAAUAACAUGUGAUGUGUCAUAUGUACCUUAUAUUAACGUACAUGGACUAAUUUUUAACAAUAAAAUAGAUGAACUUUUAAACA